rnacentral:rRNA from 1 species
UACGUAGGUGGCAAGCGUUAUCCGGAUUUAUUGGGUGUAAAGGGAGCGUAGACGGUAAUGUAAGUCUGGAGUGAAAGGCGGGGGCCCAACCCCCGGACUGCUCUGGAAACUAUGUUACUAGAGUGCAGGAGAGGUAAGCGGAAUUCCUAGUGUAGCGGUGAAAUGCGUAGAUAUAUGGAAGAACACCAGUGGCGAAAGCGGCUCUCUGGUCUGUAACUGACGCUGAGGUUCGAAAGCGUGGGUAGCAAACAGG